CGCGGCCGUUGGGGCCGGGUCCCGCCACCGUGUGCGGGGGUGGUCGUCGUCCCGCCCUCCCGGGGGCUGCUCCCACCGCCCGCGAGAUUUGGAACCUGAGCUCUGAUGAAAACUCCUCCUCAGCAGAGCAGCUACACUGGAUAUUAAAGACAUACGAUAGGAUAAAUCUUGCUUUACAUGGCAGAGAGAAGCAGUAGAGCCCUCUUGAAGCAACUUUCCAGGCUCUGUCACCUCAGUCUGCGGUGUUGAUAUGAGAAAUGAACACUAAUAAGCAGCAGGUCCUUAGCUCUGUCUGGAACUUCUCUGAGGUUGUUGUUUCAAAGAAGUGUUGCUUAUAGGCAAAAGGGAAAUGGCAACCCAUUAGGAAAAAGUGUAUCUUUUUCUCCUUCUCCCUUCCUAUCAGCCUGUGGAGCAGAAAGCUGCAGAAAGUGGAUCAAAAUGACAUAUGAGAGGACUCAAGAAAAUACUUGUGGAUGAUUUCUGCUAUUGUCAUUAGAAAGAACCACUGCACUAUUUGUUUACCUUGUGAUACGUCCUAAAAUAAAACUUAAUCUUGAAUCAGAUGAGGGUUGUACACUCAGCAAGUUAUGUUUGAUACAUAAGGUGUUUUUUUUUUGGUUUGGUUUUGGGUGGUGGGCUUCCCCCCCUCCCCCCUACUUACCUUUCAAAAAGUAAAGCAAACCGUUGGCUUGACGGAACAAAAACCAUUUUCUGGUUGGUUAGUAUUCCUUCCAUCAGGGCCUCUACAACUUCUUCAGUCUCCAAAAUCUUUCCAAGCCUACUCAGGAAAGCAUACAUGUAAGAGCUAUGAUGGUAAAAUGGGUGGUGCUAGCUGAUGUAGGAUGCUUCACAGAUGCACAAACUCACUCAGGUAAUACAAAUGCAACCAUUCUGUGGGUUAAAUAACACCGCAGAUUUUCUUUUUAGCCAAUGAUAUAUAGUCUUUUUACAUAGUUGGAAUACAAGGCCUAAACGUGGGGUUAAUGUGUUGUGCCAUGGUGCAAAGAAGGAAGGACUGGAAAGCAGAUUUUUGAUAGGUACCUUGUACUGGGGUUUUUGACAAAUCCAGUGUUUAUAAAAACCGGACAAAGGCACGUAGUUUUUAUUCCAUCCUUUCCCAGGGUAGACAGCUCCUCUGUCAGAGCUUUAUGAAAUCCAACCGCAGCAAACUUGCUUGAAC